GAUGAACGCUGGCGGCGUGCCUAAUACAUGUAAGUCGAGCGAACAGACGAGGAGCUUGCUCCUCUGACGUUAGCGGCGGACGGGUGAGUAACACGUGGAUAACCUACCUAUAAGACUGGGAUAACUUCGGGAAACCGGAGCUAAUACCGGAUAAUAUAUUGAACCGCAUGGUUCAAUAGUGAAAGACGGAUUUGCUGUCACUUAUAGAUGGAUCCGCGCCGCAUUAGCUAGUUGGUAAGGUAACGGCUUACCAAGGCAACGAUGCGUAGCCGACCUGAGAGGGUGAUCGGCCACACUGGAACUGAGACACGGUCCAGACUCCUACGGGAGGCAGCAGUAGGGAAUCUUCCGCAAUGGGCGAAAGCCUGACGGAGCAACGCCGCGUGAGUGAUGAAGGUCUUCGGAUCGUAAAACUCUGUUAUUAGGGAAGAACAAAUGUGUAAGUAACUAUGCACGUCUUGACGGUACCUAAUCAGAAAGCCACGGCUAACUACGUG
rnacentral:rRNA from 1 species